rnacentral:misc_RNA from 1 species
AACCAUUCUCACCUGCGGCUAGACCUGCGGAGGGAUCAUUAUUGAAUAUGCUUGAUAGGUUGUCGCUGGCUUCAUUAAGCAUGUGCACGCCUGUCUUGACUUCAUUCAUCCACCUGUGCACUCGUUGUAGUCUUUUGUUCUCUCUUUUCCAGGUCAUGGAAUGUGACUAUGGAAGGAGUACAGGGACUAUGUCUUUCAUCACAAACCAUGUAGUAUGUCGUCAGAAUGUGUUCAAUGGGC